AAAAAAGGUAAGCUACUAAGAGCGAAUGGUGGAUGCCUUGACUGGUAAAGGCGAUGAAGGACGUACUAGACUGCGAUAAGCUACGGGGAGCUGUCAAGAAGCUUUGAUCCGUAGAUUUCCGAAUGGGGCAACCCAAUGUAUAGAGAUAUACAUUACCUAUAUAGGAGCGAACGAGGGGAAUUGAAACAUCUUAGUACCCUCAGGAAAAGAAAUCAAUAGAGAUUGCGUCAGUAGCGGCGAGCGAAAGCGCAAGAGGGCAAACCCAGUGCUUGCACUGGGGGUUGUAGGACUGCAAUGUGCAAGAGGUGAGUUUAGCAGAACAUUCUGGAAAGUAUAGCCAUAGAGGGUGAUAGUCCCGUAUGCGAAAAACAAACCUUAGCUAGCAGUAUCCUGAGUAGGGCGGGACACGAGAAAUCCUGUCUGAAGCUGGGUCGACCACGAUCCAACCCUAAAUACUAAUACCAGAUCGAUAGUGCACAAGUACCGUGAGGGAAAGGUGAAAAGAACUGAGGUGAUCAGAGUGAAAUAGAACCUGAAACCAUUUGCUUACAAUCAUUCAGAGCCCUAUGUAGCAAUACAGGGUGAUGGACUGCCUUUUGCAUAAUGAGCCUGCGAGUUGUGGUGUCUGGCAAGGUUAAGCAAACGCGAAGCCGUAGCGAAAGCGAGUCUGAAUAGGGCGCUUAGUCAGAUGCUGCAGACCCGAAACGAAGUGAUCUAUCCAUGAGCAAGUUGAAGCUAGUGUAAGAACUAGUGGAGGACUGAACCCAUAGGCGUUGAAAAGCCCCGGGAUGACUUGUGGAUAGGGGUGAAAGGCCAAUCAAACUUCGUGAUAGCUGGUUCUCUCCGAAAUAUAUUUAGGUAUAGCGUUGUGUCGUAAUAUAAGGGGGUAGAGCACUGAAUGGGCUAGGGCAUACACCAAUGUACCAAACCCUAUCAAACUCCGAAUACCUUAUAUGUAAUCACAGCAGUCAGGCGGCGAGUGAUAAAAUCCGUCGUCAAGAGGGAAACAACCCAGACUACCAGCUAAGGUCCCUAAAUCUUACUUAAGUGGAAAACGAUGUGAAGUUACUUAAACAACCAGGAGGUUGGCUUAGAAGCAGCCAUCCUUUAAAGAAAGCGUAAUAGCUCACUGGUCUAGUGAUUUUGCGCGGAAAAUAUAACGGGGCUAAAGUAAGUACCGAAGCUGUAGACUUGCGCACAACUUAGAUUAUUUAAGUUUAGAAUAUGAGAAACUAAGUUAUAUGUUUAGUUAUAUUUUUACUGAUUUUUAUAGAGUAAAGAUAGAAAUAAAACUUAGUAAAAUCAGUAAAAAUAUUCUUAGACUAAAGUUAAGUAGUUUAAGUUGUGUGCAAGUGGUAGGAGAGCGUUCUAUUUGCGUCGAAGGUAUACCGGUAAGGAGUGCUGGAGCGAAUAGAAGUGAGCAUGCAGGCAUGAGUAGCGAUAAUUAAUGUGAGAAUCAUUAACGCCGUAAACCCAAGGUUUCCUACGCGAUGCUCGUCAUCGUAGGGUUAGUCGGGUCCUAAGUCGAGUCCGAAAGGGGUAGACGAUGGCAAAUUGGUUAAUAUUCCAAUACCAACAUUAGUGUGCGAUGGAAGGACGCUUAGGGCUAAGGGGGCUAGCGGAUGGAAGUGCUAGUCUAAGGUCGUAGGAGGUUAUACAGGCAAAUCCGUAUAACAAUACUCCGAGAACUGAAAGGCUUUUUGAAGUCUUCGGAUGGAUAGAAGAACCCCUGAUGCCGUCGAGCCAAGAAAAGUUUCUAAGUUUAGCUAAUGUUGCCCGUACCGUAAACCGACACAGGUGGGUGGGAUGAGUAUUCUAAGGCGCGUGGAAGAACUCUCUUUAAGGAACUCUGCAAAAUAGCACCGUAUCUUCGGUAUAAGGUGUGGUUCGCUUCGUAUUAGGAUUUACUCCGAAAGCGAAGAAACUUACAACAAAGAGUCCCUCCCGACUGUUUACCAAAAACACAGCACUCUGCUAACUCGUAAGAGGAUGUAUAGGGUGUGACGCCUGCCCGGUGCUCGAAGGUUAAUUGAUGGGGUUAGCAUUAGCGAAGCUCUUGAUCGAAGCCCGAGUA
rnacentral:rRNA from 1 species